GUGCAUCCUCACCUCCUCUCACCCCCGAAGUCUUCCUCAUUCAUGGGUGUUGUAUGUGCGGCGUUAGGGGUAGCCGGUACAAUGGGGUAUGGUUUGCUGUGGUCAUCAAUCAUCGGUCAUGGAUAUAAGAUUAUAAGGUAUGUAAUCCUAAUUUUUUACCUACCUUCGAUUUCUUCUUCUUCCAAGCUUCAUUGCUACCUCCGAUAUCUUCUUUUUAUCCAAUUUUUUACCUCUGAUUUUUUACCAACUGACAAUGCCUCCAUAUUCUCCCUCAUCAGUGCUACCGUCUGUCGGGCAAGGAGAGAGUCUGACACCUUCACACUACAAAAAAAGGACCUUGUAUGACGGUCUUUGGAUGGCGAAUGUCCGCCAUCAAUAAUGAUGGCGAAUGUCCACCAUCAAUAAUGAUGGCGGAUGUCCGCCUUCAUUAUCUGAAGCGGUUCGGGAACUUCUCAUCCCUAAAUUGGUCUGAAUUAGUUUUUUAACAAUUCUUCAAAAAUACGGAUGUUGCAAGUUACUCCGUCCCGUCGAGAAAGAACAGGAUUGAAAGUUGGAGAAUACAUUUAUGGAUGUGUUUUUUCUUGAAUGUAAGGUUAUUCUAUAAUUGUUUUUAAUUUUGUUAAAUUAAUAAACAGGACAUAUGUUUUAAUGAAAAG
rnacentral:lncRNA from 1 species